GACGAACGCUGGCGGCGUGCUUAACACAUGCAAGUCGAACGGAAAGGCCCUGCUUUUGUGGGGUGCUCGAGUGGCGAACGGGUGAGUAACACGUGAGUAACCUGCCCUUGACUUUGGGAUAACUUCAGGAAACUGGGGCUAAUACCGGAUAGGAGCUCCUGCUGCAUGGUGGGGGUUGGAAAGUUUCGGCGGUUGGGGAUGGACUCGCGGCGUAUCAGCUUGUUGGUGGGGUAGUGGAUUACCAAGGCUUUGACGGGUAGCCGGCCUGAGAGGGUGACCGGCCACACUGGGACUGAGAUACGGCACAGACUCCUACGGGAGGCAGCAGUGGGGAAUAUUGCAGAAUGGGCGGAAGCCUGAUGCAGCAACGCCGCGUGCGGGAUGACGGCCUUCGGGUUGUAAACCGCUGUCGCCUGUGACGAAGCGUGAGUGACGGUAAUGGGUAAAGAAGCACCGGCUAACUACGUG
rnacentral:rRNA from 1 species